CUGCAUCAAUUAUUUAUUUGAAUCGGCCUCUUAGCUGAAGCUCAGUGAAAUAUCUUCUUACUAGAUGAUAUAUAAUACUAUCCAUUCAUCCUACUCUCAAACCAAAUUUGUCACUUUUUCGAUCUUCCAGCAAACCUUUUGUGUGGCACUAAGAUCCAUAUUAUCCAUAAUCCACAUGAGGAUCCUCAAUUAUUCAAAUGACUAGGCACAAUACCUUGUAGGAUCUCCACGAAUAGCUAAAACAACAAUGCCCCCUGGAAUAUAGCUUCAACAUGCAUAAUAUCCAAGCAAGGCAUAAUUAUUUCCUUCAACAUGGAUGCCCCCCAACCUUUGUCACCCUAAGGAUACCAUGCUACUCCCAGUCCACCAAGGGAUGGCUUAUGUCCAUGAUUGAAGCGAGCACCCCUUCUUCAGUCCAACGUGACCUCUUGUAUAUAUUUUUGUCAUCUCGGCUAAUGAUUCUUGAGAACACCAAAUAGUUUUCAGUCUCAUUUCCUUGACUAGCCGAUAAAAAACUAUCGCGUUUAAAGAUCUUGCAACAUCAUGCGCCAACAACUGACUAGCUGAUUUACCUUCUUCAACUUUUUAAUUAGCCAAGUUCACCAUAGUCUGCAUCGCGGCAUGCUGUGGUUGGAGUGGUUGGAGUUUUUGAUAAGCUUUUCCACUUAUUCUGUUAUCACCUUUAGAGCUACCUAGUUGCACUCCAUAAGUAGGUAUAAUAUGAUAGCCGCUUCAAAUGAGAACAACUUCAACAAGCGGUGCCUAAUUUUCUCUAGAUAGGACUAAAUUGGUAUGACCAUCUCCCGAAGAAGAUCUGCUGGUAGAUAUAUCACCAUCACCUGACAAGUAUCUAUCAUCUCCUUAGCAAUAUCAUAAUAACUAUGCAUUUAUCCCACUAGGUAUGUCAAAUAACUUAUUUCUACAAAGGCUUCUCAUGUGCCAUCUAGGAAGACAUGCAUGCCAUAGAGAUUGUUGGCACAAGUCUGAUGGCAAGAUGUAGAUAAGUCCAAAGGCGUGCCACUGGCGUUAGAGCAUCUGGAAAGAUGAUGAUCAUAGGGAGGAUAUGAGAGUAAUAUUGGUCUAGAUGCCUUGAGCUUCAAGGACUUUGGCUACCAUCACACCNNNNNNNNNNGAAACUAAGUUAUGACUAUUACUAAGAUACUACUAGAAAAUAAAUGCAAUAAACUAAAACUAAGAUAAAAUAUAAUUCAAAGAUAUGUUGGAUGUCGAAAGGUUCUUUAUAGAGAACAAAUCCAUCUAUUUAUGCUACAAGAUAAUAAUUGCUCACUCUUAAUAAUAGUCCACAUCUCACCUCCAUGUCUAGCUAUUCUGGUAACUAAUGUCUUAUCUUUAGGCUGAAAAAGCUGGAGGUGAACUUGGCUAAAGACGAGAGCAUAUGAUGUAAAACUCCAAGCCCUUUUAGAAGCACAAGCUCGGCUCCAAGACUAGAUGUCUCGAUUUCCUACCCAUCUUGCCAAGACGAGCGAGGUUGAUGCACUGGCUGAACAUUUACAACGUGAAUGGGAUUACACUAAGGACAUAGCCAGAAAUUUAUAAACUCCUUUUUGCAUUAUAACUUUGACAAAGAAAACCAUGCAUGGCCUUUUGUUCAAAAGCAAUGAAUGAAUCUAUUCCAUCCGAAUUAUUACUACUUCCAAUAUCACUUUAUUCAUUUAUAACUCAAUUUCUAGAUUGGAUGGGGAACCUCCAUUCUCAUCCUUCAAUGGAUAUCCACAAGAAACCUCAUCUAUGGUCAAUACGUGGAUUCCUUGUGAGUUGAUCACCAAAUCCUAGAAUGAGCUGAGCCUUUCACCUUAAUGUUGCCAGAAAAGAACCCUUUACCUUAAUGCUGCCAAAAAAAAAUUUGAAAUAACCAAUUGGUAAGGUUGCCUCGCAACUGAUAGGGACAUCAAAGCCAUUCGUUUAGACGAUCGAGCCAUCAGAGCCACUCGCUCACGCCCGCACCAGGGGAUGACAUUAUGGCUACAAGAGGAUCCUGAGCCACUAGAUUGAAUCAGGCCCAGAUUGGGUUCAUUCGAGUCUGCGUCAUGUUUCUUUUAUUGUCUUAUUAGUUGCUUUCGUUUGAGUUGAUUUGGUUGUGUUUCUGUUAAU
rnacentral:lncRNA from 1 species